AGUGCAGUGGCGCAAUCUCUGCCCACUGCAACCUCCACCUCACGGGUUCAAGUGAUUCUCCCUUCUCAGCUUCCCAAGUAGCUGGGAUUACAGGCACGUGCCAGCACUCCCAACUAAUUUUUGUAUUUUUAGGAGAGACAGGGUUUUGCCCAUGUUGGUCAGGCUGGUCUUGAACUCCUGACCUCAAAGUGAUCCAGCCGCCUCGGCCUCCCAAAGUGCUGGGAUUAUAGACGUGAGCCACCGCACCUGGCCUUGUACAAGAACUUUAUAUCUACCAAUCUGUCUAUAAUCACAGAAGACAUGGCAGCAGACGAGAGGGCAUUUUAGAAAUGUAUACCCACUCUUUUCUGCUUCUCCCCAGGAGUGACCCACAUCACAGGUUCAUGCCUGCCUUCAAAAGUCCUCUCAGUGAAAGAUUGGCGAGAAACAGUAAAACCUACCAUAAGAUGCCAGGCCUGCUGUUAGCCAUAGAGAGGUCUAAUAGUCACAGGCAAUUAGAGUGGACAGUAAUGAAGACUGCUUUGAUCUCUGAGUGGCUUGGUAAUUGCACAAAGAGAGGUCUCUUCUCUAUUCUCAUGGUUAAAACUCUUAUCAUCCGUCCAUUCAUUCUAAAUCCACUUGUUGAGCACCGCUAUUGUCCAUUGCCAGAACAAUCCUGCAGCUUACUCAUCUUGUUAUGUUAGGGAAGUGCAGGAUCACGAGGGCAUGACUAGCCAUGUCAAUCUUUGUAUCCAAUGCCUGGAUAAAUAUUUGACAUACAGAUUAAGACUGCAUUUCUCUAAUAGAUAACUAGUUUCUUUGCUCUAGGUAGGUAACUUGAAAAUGUCAAGCACAUCAUUAAACUUGAAUUUUAAGGUGAACAUCUGGAAAGGAAGAGUGGUUGAGAAUGCCCUGAACUUACGCCACUCAAGUUUCAGUGAUGUGUAUCAAGGGGAUUCAGAACAUAGACAGGAUCCUAGAAAAGCAAACGUCAGAGGGCUCCACAUCAGCUGCUCAUUAUGGAAUGUGGACUGGGUUGGUGACAGAAGGUUGAAAACCAGGAUGAGACUUGAGAGUGUACUUUUUAACUGAACAGGGGUUUCUCUAUGAAACUGCUGUGAAAGUCCCCGCUUCAGACAUGGAUGGGUCCCAGCCUGCUCUCAUGGUGUCCAUGGUGAGAGUCACAACAUCACCUGAGAGUGCAAAUCACUUGACACACAGGCUACUAAACAAGGGACCCUGACUGCUACAGUUAAGGUGGGGCAGACACUGAGAUCUGUGUUGACCUUGGCCCAUGUGUGUUAGUGCAGGGGAGACCUCUGUGCUCAGGAACUGGUUAGGACCUGAAUUUCUGAAAUAACUGCUUCAGUCCCCUAUUCCAAUCAGCCUGUGCCUACAGAUCUCAAAUGGCCCUCCCUGCUUGUUCUCUGUGCUGGAGAGCAAACCAGACCCCUGUGGCCCAUGGCACUGAUGGAUCUGAAGCUUCUUCUUGGGGUUUGAAGUAUCCACAUUCCAGGCCUUCAACAUCAUAGGAGAUUUUUUUCUCUCCACACACUUCAACUACGCUGACUUUUCCCUUAGCAAGAAGUAGGUUUGGCUUAAGUAUUGGGGUAGGUAGUGGUCACUUUCAGGGGGUCUUCCCAGACCAUCAUGAUCUUGCAUCUAUCCCAGUGGCCAUAUUGUACCACGGGACCCACUCCCCAAGUUUAGUUGAUUGGACCAGAGGUGGGCAUCUGAGACAGAAAGACUCAUUUCCACAGGAGUUUCCAAUUGAUCCCAUUGGAGAGUUUCUGAUUUCUGUGCAGCCGUCUUUAGGACACAUGAUUCUUAAUGCUUGGGUAGUCAAGAGACCAGGAAGCAGAGGAAGCUGGUGUGCAAAAGAGGGAAAGAUGCAAAGAUGCACAGGGAGAAGCAGAAGCCAGGGAGAGAGCAUGCCAUUACCUGAGUCCCCCUAGUCCUUUUUAAGCCCAUUUGGAACCCUUUAUUCAGAGAAAAAAACACUUCUCUUGGUUUAUGCUACAUCCAAGUGUUUUCUCUUACUUGUAAUAAAAAAGCCAUUCUGAGCUCCCUCGAUGAAUGUGUUUCGGUGUGGUCUCUGAGUAGUUUGCUCAUUAUUGUGUAACUGACUUAUAUUUCAGAAGCUGCCACAAAUUUGGGUUUUUUUUUUUUCAGUAACUGGAGAAUGAUCUUAGCAGAGAACCUGGGCUGCAUGCUGUCUUGAAGUGUGGCUUUUGUUUUAUAGACAUGUUGUCCUAUAUAUGAAAUGUAGGAGUGUCGGGAAGAGGGAUGGGACUGGGGGGUCCCAUCCAGAAAGAGAAGUCUCCCUGGUUUGUGUAAACUAAGGAGAGAGUGGCUGAUUUUCUAUCAGGAAAGAGGUUGUUUGCCCCCCCCCUUUUUUUUUUUUGAGAUGGAGUCUCGCUCUUUCGCCCAGGCCAGAGUGCAGUGGCGCAAUCUCAGCUCACU
rnacentral:lncRNA from 1 species